UACGGGGGGGGCAAGCGUUGUUCGGAAUUACUGGGCGUAAAGCGCGUGUAGGCUGCUCUGCAAGUCGGGUGUGAAAGCCCUGGGCUCAACCUAGGAAGUGCACUCGAAACUGCAGAGCUUGAGUCCUGGAGAGGAAGGCGGAAUUCUCGGUGUAGAGGUGAAAUUCGUAGAUAUCGAGAGGAACACCGGUGGCGAAGGCGGCCUUCUGGACAGUGACUGACGCUGAGACGCGAAAGCGUGGGGAGCAAACAGG
rnacentral:rRNA from 1 species